AGAGUUUGAUCAUGGCUCAGAACGUACGCUGGCGGCACGCCUAACACAUGCAAGUCGAACGAAGUAGCAAUACUUAGUGGCAGACGGGUGAGUAACAUGUAGGUAUCUACCCUUUGGCCUGGAAUAACACGAGGAAACUUGUGCUAAUACCGGAUAAGUCUUUACGGAGAAAGCUUUAUGCACCAUUGGAUGAGCCUGCACUUGAUUAGUUUGUUGGUGGGGUAAUGGCCUACCAAGACUGUGAUCAAUAGCUGAUUUGAGAGGAUGAUCAGCCACAUUGGGACUGAGACACGGCCCAAACUCCUACGGGAGGCAGCAGUGGGGAAUCUUGCACAAUGGAGGAAACUCUGAUGCAGCGAUGCCGCGUGAGUGAAGAAGGCCUUUGGGUUGUAAAGCUCUUUCGUCGGGGAAGAAAAUGACUGUACCCGAAUAAGAAGGUCCGGCUAACUUCGUGCCAGCAGCCGCGGUAAUACGAAGGGACCUAGCGUAGUUCGGAAUUACUGGGCUUAAAGAGUUCGUAGGUGGUUGAAAAAGUUGGUGGUGAAAUCCCAGAGCUUAACUCUGGAACUGCCAUCAAAACUUUUCAGCUAGAGUAUGAUAGAGGAAAGCAGAAUUUCUAGUGUAGAGGUGAAAUUCGUAGAUAUUAGAAAGAAUACCAAUUGCGAAGGCAGCUUUCUGGAUCAUUACUGACACUGAGGAACGAAAGCAUGGGUAGCGAAGAGGAUUAGAUACCCUCGUAGUCCAUGCCGUAAACGAUGUGUGUUAGACGUUGGAAAUUUAUUUUCAGUGUCGCAGCGAAAGCGAUAAACACACCGCCUGGGGAGUACGACCGCAAGGUUAAAACUCAAAUGAAUUGACGGGGACCCGCACAAGUAGUGGAGCAUGUGGUUUAAUUCGAAGAUACGCGCAGAACCUUACCAACACUUGACAUGUUCGUCGCGACUCUAAGAGAUUAGAGUUUUCGGUUCGGCCGGACGAAACACAGGUGCUGCAUGGCUGUCGUCAGCUCGUGUCGUGAGAUGUUGGGUUAAGUCCCGCAACGAGCGCAACCCUCACUUUUAGUUGCCAUCAUUAAGUUGGGCACUCUGAAAGAACUGCCAGUGAUAAGCUGGAGGAAGGUGGGGAUGACGUCAAGUCCUCAUGGCCCUUACGUGUUGGGCUACACACGUGCUACAAUGGUAUCUACAACAGGAAGCAAGACUGCGAGGUCAAGCAAAUCCUUAAAAGAUACCUCAGUUCGGAUUGCACUCUGCAACUCGAGUGCAUGAAGCUGGAAUUACUAGUAAUCGUGGAUCAGCGUGCCACGGUGAAUGCGUUCCCGGGUCUUGUACACACCGCCCGUCACACCAUGGGAGUUGGUUCUACCUUAAGGCAAGGUUUAAUACCCUUGACCACGGUAUAGUCAGCGACUGGGGUGAAGUCGUAACAAGGUA
rnacentral:rRNA from 1 species